rnacentral:rRNA from 1 species
UACAGAGGUCUCGAGCGUUAGGCGGAAUCACUGGGCUUAAAGCGUGUGUAGGUGGAUGCCUAAGUACCUUGUGAAAUCCCACGGCUUAACCGUGGAACUGCUUGGUAUACUGGGGGACUUGAGUGCAGGAGAGAAGAGUGGUAUUCCACGUGUAGCGGUGAAAUGCGUAGAUAUCGGGAGGAACACCAGUGGCGAAGGCGACUACCUGGCCUGUUCUUGACGCUGAGGCGCGAAAGCUAGGGGAGCAAACGGG